UCUCCGUUGGUGAACCAGCGGAGGGAUCAUUACAGAGUGUAAAAACUCCCCAACCCGUGUGAACCUACCAUCGUUGCCUCGGCGGGACAGGGCGCGCCGCUCGCGGCGUCCCCUCCCCGCCAGAGGACCCAAAUUCUUGGUUUUCCAUUUGGCUUCUUUCUGAGUGGCGCAAGCAAAAAAAUCAAAUCAAAACUUUCAACAACGGAUCUCUUGGUUCUGGCAUCGAUGAAGAACGCAGC
rnacentral:misc_RNA from 1 species